GGAAUUUUGGACAAUGGGCGCAAGCCUGAUCCAGCCAUUCCGCGUGAGUGAAGAAGGCCUUCGGGUUGUAAAGCUCUUUCGCAAGGGAAGAAACGUUACGAGCGAAUAACUCGUGAUAAUGACGGUACCUUGAUAAGAAGCACCGGCUAACUACGUGCCAGCAGCCGCGGUAAUACGUAGGGUGCGAGCGUUAAUCGGAAUUACUGGGCGUAAAGCGUGCGCAGGCUGUUUUGUAAGUCAGAUGUGAAAUCCCUGAGCUCAACUUAGGAACUGCGUUUGAAACUACAAGACUAGAAUAUGUCAGAGGGGGGUAGAAUUCCACGUGUAGCAGUGAAAUGCGUAGAGAUGUGGAGGAAUACCAAUGGCGAAGGCAGCCCCCUGGGAUAAUAUUGACGCUCAUGCACGAAAGCGUGGGGAGCAAACAGGAUUAGAUACCCUUG
rnacentral:rRNA from 1 species